AUGGCUCAGGAUGAACGCUAGCGGCAGGCUAACACAUGCAAGUCGAGGGGCAGCGCGGAUAGCAAUAUCUGGCGGCGACCGGCGAAAGGGUGCGUAACGCGUGAGCAACUUGCCCGUAUCUGGGGGAUAAGCGGUGGAAACGCCGUCUAAUACCCCAUAACAACAGAGGCCGCAUGACCUUUGUUUGAAAGCUUCGGUGGAUACGGAUAGGCUCGCGAGACAUUAGCUAGUUGGUGAGGUAACGGCUCACCAAGGCUACGAUGUCUAGGGGUUCUGAGAGGAAGGUCCCCCACAUUGGAACUGAGACACGGUCCAAACUCCUACGGGAGGCAGCAGUGAGGAAUAUUGGUCAAUGGACGGAAGUCUGAACCAGCCAUGCCGCGUGCAAGGAUUAAGGCCCUAUGGGUCGUAAACUGCUUUUGUGGUGGAGCAAUAAGACGUACGUGUACGUCGAUGAGAGUACAUCACGAAUAAGCAUCGGCUAACUCCGUGCCAGCCGCCGC
rnacentral:rRNA from 1 species